rnacentral:lncRNA from 1 species
CCAUGUAAGAGAACUUUUUCCCAUUAUACAACCACUUCGAACAAGUUUACGCAGCACAACAAGGACAGGCAUAACGUCCUUUGGUACUCCAACCCGAUAAAUUAGCAUAAGCCGAGAAAUCAUUAAUUGUCCACAAUAAAGCUGCACGUAAAUUAAAGUUCUCCUUUCUCAAUACAUCAUAUGUCUCAACACCCGACCAUAAUUGUUUUAACUCUUCAAUAAGUGGCUGCAAAUAGAUGUCAA